rnacentral:lncRNA from 1 species
AAAUAAAUAUACUAUUUUAAAUUAAACUUACAUAAAAUAUUAUAUUAUAAAUUACAAUAUGAAAUAAUUUUAUAAAUAACUUUAUAUAAAAUAUACUAAUAUAAAUUAAUUAUUUUAUUUUUAAAAAUAUAUUUGGACAUUAUUCAUGACUUUUUAUCCGAACGCUAUUAAAGAUAUCCUCUAGAAUAUUCCCGAAUGUAUCUAAACGUAAAUUUAUAAUUAUUAUAUAUUAUACAGAAAUAUCUCCGUUGUUCUCGGAAACAACAAAAAUUGUUCUCCAAAAUUUAGUUAUAUACCAAACGCAGCCAUCAC